GUUACAACAACGGUUCCCAUACAAUCUCCGAAAUUAAGCAACGGCAAGCCUGAUCAGUACCUAGAUGGGUGACCACUUGGGAAUAACAGAU